rnacentral:rRNA from 1 species
CCUUACGGCUCAGUAACACGUGGAUAACCUGCCCUUGGGUCCGGCAUAACCCCGGGAAACUGGGGAUAAUUCCGGAUAACGCACAUAUGCUGGAAUGCUUUAUGCGUAAAAUGGAUUCGUCUGCCCAAGGAUGGGUCUGCGGCCUAUCAGGUAGUAGUGGGUGUAAUGUACCUACUAGCCAACAACGGGUACGGGUUGUGAGAGCAAGAGCCCGGAGAUGGAUUCUGAGACAUGAAUCCAGGCCCUACGGGGCGCAGCAGGCGCGAAAACUUUACAAUGCGGGAAACCGUGAUAAGGGGACACCGAGUGCCAGCGUCAUACGCUGGCUGUCCAGGUGUGUAAAAUACACCUGUUAGCAAGGGCCGGGCAAGACCGGUGCCAGCCGCCGCGGUAACACCGGCGGCCCGAGUGGUGAUCGUGAUUAUUGGGUCUAAAGGGUCCGUAGCCGGUUUGGUCAGUCCUCCGGGAAAUCUGAUAGCUCAACUAUUAGGCUUUCGGGGGAUACUGCCAGACUUGGAACCGGGAGAGGUAAGAGGUACUACAGGGGUAGGAGUGAAAUCUUGUAAUCCCUGUGGGACCACCUGUGGCGAAGGCGUCUUACCAGAACGGGCUCGACGGUGAGGGACGAAAGCUGGGGGCACGAACCGGAUUAGAUACCCGGGUAGUCCCAGCCGUAAACGAUGCUCGCUAGGUGUCAGGCAUGGCGCGACCGUGUCUGGUGCCGCAGGGAAGCCGUGAAGCGAGCCACCUGGGAAGUACGGCCGCAAGGCUGAAACUUAAAGGAAUUGGCGGGGGAGCAC